AGAUUGGUGGCCUAGUAGUUAGAGCAUCCGCCUUGAAUGCGGGAGGUCAUGGGUUCGAUCCCCAGUCGAGUUA